AGGGCGCAGUCCUCGGUGGGUGACGUAAGCGCGCGCGGCGGAGAAGCCCUCGCGCUGGAAAGGUCGGGCUUCUGUCUUAAAGGGGCCGCGGCUGGCGCGGGGUCAGGGGACCACGAGUGUCGUAGCUGCGAAGCCACUGAGCCUCCCCAGGCUCGAGGACUCCCAAACCCGUGCACCCUGCGGAGUCGCUCGCUCGCCCGGCUUGACGCAACCCAGAGCCACGUGGAUUGAGUGGAUCUCACGUGAAGAGUCGCCCCAUCAGACUGGCCUGUAUCUGUAAGGAAUCAUCUUGACCGAUGAUUGGUGUAGGAGGGCCCAGACCACACUGGGCGACGCCACGCCCAGUCAGCUGGACCAGGGCUGUCUAAGAAAGUCAGCAGAAGUAAGCCAAAGAGCAGAGCAGCGAGCCAUCUUCCCCCUGGCUUCUGCUUCACCCACCUGCCACGGCUUCCUCCGGUGAGGGACCCCUUAAACUGAAAUAAACCGUGUCUUCCCA